UACGUAGGGUGCAAGCGUAAUCGGAAUUACUGGGCGUAAAGCGUGCGCAGGCGGUUAUGUAAGACAGGUGUGAAAUCCCAGGGCUUAACCUUGGAACUGCAUUUGUGACUGCAUAGCUAGAGUACGGUAGAGGGGGAUGGAAUUCCGCGUGUAGCAGUGAAAUGCGUAGAUAUGCGGAGGAACACCGAUGGCGAAGGCAAUCCCCUGGACCUGUACUGACGCUCAUGCACGAAAGCGUGGGG
rnacentral:rRNA from 1 species